GACGAACGCUGGCGGCGUGCCUAAUACAUGCAAGUCGAACGAGAGCGACCGGUGCUUGCACUGGUCAAUCUAGUGGCGAACGGGUGAGUAACACGUGGGUAACCUGCCCAUCAGAGGGGGAUAACAUUCGGAAACGGAUGCUAAAACCGCAUAGGUCUUCGAACCGCAUGGUUUGAAGAGGAAAAGAGGCGCAAGCUUCUGCUGAUGGAUGGACCCGCGGUGCAUUAGCUAGUUGGUGAGGUAACGGCUCACCAAGGCCGUGAUGCAUAGCCGACCUGAGAGGGUGAUCGGCCACAUUGGGACUGAGACACGGCCCAAACUCCUACGGGAGGCAGCAGUAGGGAAUCUUCCGCAAUGGACGCAAGUCUGACGGAGCAACGCCGCGUGAGUGAAGAAGGUUUUCGGAUCGUAAAACUCUGUUGUUAGAGAAGAACAAGUGCUAGAGUAACUGUUAGCGCCUUGACGGUAUCUAACCAGAAAGCCACGGCUAACUACGU
rnacentral:rRNA from 1 species